UCCUCGUAUCUCCUUCUGAUUCAUUCAUGUCUUAGCGGGUCGUAAAGGAUGCUAAAUAAAUAUGUAUUCUUUUUUCAUUAAUUGUUAAACAAUAAAUUUGAUUAUCAAUUAAUAAAGAAUGCUACAUUA
rnacentral:snoRNA from 1 species